rnacentral:rRNA from 1 species
GACGAACGCUGGCGGCGUGCUUAACACAUGCAAGUCGAACGGAAAGGCCCUGCUUUUGUGGGGUGCUCGAGUGGCGAACGGGUGAGUAACACGUGAGUAACCUGCCCUUGACUUUGGGAUAACUUCAGGAAACUGGGGCUAAUACCGGAUAGGAGCUCCUGCUGCAUGGUGGGGGUUGGAAAGUUUCGGCGGUUGGGGAUGGACUCGCGGCUUAUCAGCUUGUUGGUGGGGUAGUGGCUUACCAAGGCUUCGACGGGUAGCCGGCCUGAGAGGGUGACCGGCGACAAGAGGCCUGAGGUAGGGCCCAGAAGGGAACGGUAGGCAGCGGUGGAAAGUAUUGCAGAGUGGGCGGGAGCGAGUGACGACGACGCUGGGUGCGGGAAGCCGUGCUACGAGGUGUGAACAAAUUUGGAAUGAGACAAGGCGUGAGUGACGGUAAUGGAUAAAGAAGCAACGGCUAACUACGUG